UGAGGAAUAUUGGUCAAUGGGCGCGAGCCUGAACCAGCCAAGUAGCGUGCAGGAUGACGGCCCUAUGGGUUGUAAACUGCUUUUGUAUGGGGAUAAAGUCAAUCACGUGUGAUUGUUUGCAGGUACCAUACGAAUAAGGACCGGCUAAUUCCGUGCCAGCAGCCGCGGUAAUACGGAAGGUCCGGGCGUUAUCCGGAUUUAUUGGGUUUAAAGGGAGCGUAGGCCGGAGAUUAAGUGUGUUGUGAAAUGUAGACGCUCAACGUCUGACUUGCAGCGCAUACUGGUUUCCUUGAGUACGCACAACGUUGGCGGAAUUCGUCGUGUAGCGGUGAAAUGCUUAGAUAUGACGAAGAACUCCGAUUGCGAAGGCAGCUGACGGGAGCGCAACUGACGCUUAAGCUCGAAGGUGCGGGUAUCGAACAGGAUUAGAUACCCUGGUAGUCCGCACAGUANCGAUGGAUGCCCGCUGUUGGUACCUAGUANCAGCGGCUAAGCAAAAGCAUUAAGCAUCCCACCUGGGGAGUACGCCGGNNCGGU
rnacentral:rRNA from 1 species